GACGAACGCUGGCGGCGUGCCUAAUACAUGCAAGUCGAGCGAACAGACGCUGCGCUUGCUCCUCUCUCGUGAGCCGCGCACGGGUGAGUCACACGUGGAUACCCUCCCUAUCAGUCUGGGAUCACUUCGGGACACGGGAGCUAAUACCGGAUAAUAUAUUGAUCCACAUGGUUCAUUAGUGAAAGACGGCUUUGCUGUCUCUUAUCGAUGGUUCCGCGCCGCAUUAGCUAGUUGGUAAGGUAAAGGCCUACCAAGGCGACCAUGCGUAGCCGACCGGAGAGGGGGGUCGGCCACACGGGAACUGGGACGCGGACCAGACUCCUACGGGAGGCAGCAGAAGGGAAUCUGCGGCAAUGGGGGAAAGCUUGGCGGAGCAACGCCGCGUGAGAGAUGAAGGUCUUCGGAGCGUAAAACUCUGUUAUUAGGGAAGAACAAAUGUGUAAGGAACUAUGCACGGCUUGACGGUACCUAAUCAGAAAGCCACGGCUAACUACGUG
rnacentral:rRNA from 1 species